CCUUUGACGUUAGCGGCGGACGGGUGAGUAACACGUGGGUAACCUACCUAUAAGACUGGGAUAACUUCGGGAAACCGGAGCUAAUACCGGAUAAUAUUUCGAACCGCAUGGUUCGAUAGUGAAAGAUGGUUUUGCUAUCACUUAUAGAUGGACCCGCGCCGUAUUAGCUAGUUGGUAAGGUAACGGCUUACCAAGGCGACGAUACGUAGCCUACCUGAGAGGGUGAUCGGCCACACUGGAACUGAGACACGGUCCAGACUCCUACGGGAGGCAGCAGCC
rnacentral:rRNA from 1 species